GGAAAGUCCUAACAGCCGCCUGGUCACUCCAGUUCUGCCAAGAAACAGCUGCGUGGUCUUGGACAAGUCCCAGCCCUUCUCCAGGCUUCAGCUUCCACACUGUAUCAUGAUGGGGUUGGAUUUUUACAAGAUCAUCUUGAAGGCCUUCAUUAACAGUCCGUGAUAUACUUGACUCUCCCCCUCCCCUGGACACCCUCAUGGAGCUCUAAGGAAUCAAAGCAUAGAAGUAAUGUCCCUCUGGGGUUCCAGGUGCUGCGGUAGUACACCAGUGUUGGGAAGAAGAGCUAGCAGCACCGCUCACUAUGAAGAUUCUAAGUGCCUACUCAGCAAGGGCUUUCCUGAGGUUGUAAUAAGCUCCUGGAUCAGUUAACUCUUCCGCAAGGCAGAGCAGCUUUCCAGACCCCACUUCAUCAUCACAAUAAGUAAAUGACAGCCUGGGCAACAAAGUGAGACCCCACCUCUACGAAAUUAAAAAAAAAAAUUAAUUAGGCAGGCAUGGUGGCAUGUGCCUAUAGUCCCACUUAUUUGGGAAGCUGAAGUGAGAGGCUUGAG
rnacentral:lncRNA from 10 species